AAUGUAGCUGCCGAAUCUAGUUCCGGGAAUACAAGGUUCCGGGGCGGGGCCAUCCAGCUGGAAACUGGCGGGCUGGAGCCUCAGAAUGUGGAUUGGAAAGAGGGCUGGGUGGUGGUAAGUGCUGUCUGCUAAAGUUAAAAAAAGAAAAAGAAAAAAAAAGUCAGUGAAUAAACGUUCUCCAUCGACUCUGCCAGCUCGCCCUUGUCCUGCGUGUUCGACGAAGCUCCUUUACGUGCCUACCAAACACGCUAGAACGUAGAACGCGAGGAAAAAUGCACUGGGGAUUGAUAAUAAGAAUAUGAGAAUGUCAUCCCCUCUCCCUGGACCACCACCAGCAAAGAUUCACAACACAACACGCGAGAUUUUUCUUAAAAUUCUGAUCAGGUUCUUUCCAUGCUGCUGCCACUGUCUUGGUCAAAACCCCCAUUUUCCCUCCAGUGGACUUCUUGCAAUGGCCUUCCAGAUGGUCUCCCUGCAUGGAUUCAGCAGGUAAUGAUUUUGUCAAAAUACUAGUCAGGUCACAGUGAUCUCCUGUUCUUCAUGAUGUGACCUUCAAGGCCCUGCAAUGGCCAAUGGCCGAGUGGUUCUCAAUCCCAGAAGUUUGUCCCCCAAGGGGCCUUUUGGCAGUAUCUGGAGACCUUUUCAGUCCUCACAUUGGAGUGUAUUGUUGGCAUCUAGCCAUUGUGCUGCCAAACAGCCACAAAGCACAGGACCAAAUUUCACAUCAAAGAAUCUUCUGGCCCCAAAUGUCAAUAGUGCCAAAGGUGAAAACCCAACCCUAGUCCCUGUCCACCCCUUACCCUCCUCUUGGA